GCCUUCGUGGUGUAUUGUUCAGCACACUCGGCGUGUAUUGGAAAAGGUUCGAGGUUCGAGUCCCGGCGAGGGCA
rnacentral:tRNA from 1 species